rnacentral:rRNA from 1 species
CAAAAACAUCGCCUCCUGAUCAAUAUAAGAGGUCCAGCCUGCCCAGUGACUCUGUUUAACGGCCGCGGUAUCCUAACCGUGCGAAGGUAGCGUAAUCACUUGUUCUUUAAAUGAGGACUAGUAUGAAUGGCACCACGAGGGUUAUACUGUCUCCUUUUCCAAAUCAGUGAAACUAAUCUCCCCGUGAAGAAGCGGGAAUAAAAAUAUAAGACGAGAAGACCCUAUGGAGCUUAAAACUUUCAACAAUUAUAUUUUCUUCAUAAACCUAAAUGGUAAUUAAAUUAAUCUUUAUAAUAUGUUUGUUAGUUUUCGGUUGGGGUGACCGCGGAGUAAAACUUAUCCUCCACAUUGAAUUAAAUAUUCUUCUUAGCAAAAAACUACAAUUUUAUGCAUCAAAAAAUUGACAUUAUUGACCCAAUAUUUUGAUCAACGAACCAAGUUACCCUAGGGAUAACAGCGCAAUCCAUCUCAAGAGCUCAUAUCGACGGAUGGGUUUACGACCUCGAUGUUGGAUCAGGAUAUCCUAGUGGUGCAGCCGCUACUAAAGGUUCGUUUGUUCAACGAUUAAAAU